UACGUAGGGCGCAAGCGUUGUCCGGAAUUAUUGGGCGUAAAGAGCUCGUAGGCGGCUUGUCACGUCGGGUGUGAAAGCCCGGGGCUUAACCCUGGGUCUGCAUUCGAUACGGGCUAGCUAGAGUGUGGUAGGGGAGAUCGGAAUUCCUGGUGUAGCGGUGAAAUGCGCAGAUAUCGGGAGGAACACCGGUGGCGAAGGCGGUGGUCUGGGCCGGCACUGACGCUGAGGAGCGAAAGCGUGGGGAGCGAACAGG
rnacentral:rRNA from 1 species